CUUUAGAAUCUUUUGGUUUUGUUUAUUUGAAAUAGUUUUUGAUAGUCGAUUGAUCCUGCUCUUUAAUCUUCUUAAGUUCAUUGUUUGGGUUUCUUGGUCAAUCAUUAAGAACAAGAAGAUAGAAUGAAUCAGAAUAAAUUUUUUGGGGGUUUUCCCCUUCUAUCGUAGGGAGGGUUUGAUGAAUAUUUCUGAAAAUAGUUGAGAGAUGUGUCUUGUUUCGUAAUGCUUUGUUAGAUGGCUUAUCUGUUCCAUAUAAAUAUAUUAUUUUUUGAAUUUGUUCAUCUACAAACGUGUUUUCUUUCUGGGUUUCUCUAGAUGAGCAAUUCCAAGUUAUUUUUAUGUGCUUUGUUGUAGGAGUAGAAAUAAAGGGAUAUCACAUAUAUGUAAAAGUUAUUUUUCUUCAAUGAUAUAGGUUCAGUGAUUAUCUCCACUAACCUGUUUAUUUUGUGGAUAUUAUAUAUACCUUACAGGAGACAGAUUGGAGGCUGACUAAUGAUGAUGAUUUUGAAGUAUCUUUGUUUCCAUAUUGGUCUUUAUGUGCAUGUUUUCUCUCUUUUAUUGCAGUGUAAUGAUUCUGUUCUUGAAAUCUGAGAUUAUUAACAACCUUUUGAUUGUGAAUCUUAAGAUCAUCUCAUUGAGUCAUAUUUUGUCUCUAUUUUUACAUGUUUCAGAUCUAGAUUAUCUGUUUAUAACAGUGUGUAAUGAAGUCUAAAUUAUUAACUACUGAUUUGAACUUAACUUCUCUUUCUUUUCCCUUAUUAUGCAAGCUUUUGUGUGGUAACCUUUUUAUAGUUUCCAGUUAAAUGUUUUUCCUUUUCGAGUUCUUUCUGUGUUGCUCAUAUAUGUUUGUAGACUAUUUUCACGUGUUUAGGUUAUUAAUUAUCUUUAUUUUGUUGGCUAAGCUUUUAAUGUAUUCUGUUGUUGUUUAAAAGAUAAAGGGACAUCAGUGUCACUUGUAGUUUUUACUAGUUUCCAGUUAAAUGCUUAUAUGAAUCAUGAGUAGUGUGGUCAGGAAUUUCUUUCUUUGAUGCUAUGGUUUUUUUUCCAACUGAUUGUGUGUUCUACACUAUUUAAUUAGUACCAUAUUCAUGCUAUGGAAUGUAUAUUUAGUGUUUCUUUUUGGCUUAAUGGGUUAAGCACUUAAUCUGGAGAGCUAUAUGACUGUUUCUAUUUUGAAUCUUAUGAUGACUAAAUGUUUUUUACUCAUAUUUAGUUCUCAUCAAGUCUUCAUUCAGACCCUCGAUUCAUAGCAGUGAGUGUAGAUUGUGUGCCUUUUGAAUAUUAAUAUUAAGAGCAUCACAUUCUUUUUCUACAGUUCCUAUGGUGGCAACAAAUGCAUGUAUGGAUCCAAAGAUUCAAUUCUUUGUUUAUCAUAUGUUGUUUUUCAUCUGUCACUUGUCUUGUUCUUGGUUCUUCUUUGAUGGGUUUAUUUGAAGGGUUUUGAUUUUUGAAUGACAGAGGUUCCUUAUACAAUUCUUUCCAACUUGAAAAUUAAGGUCAUUGAGUUUCUUGGUUAUCGGGUUCUUUUUUUUUUCGUCAUGUUCUUCAUUUUAUACAGAGAUAUCAGUAUGGCUUAUAUAACAAAUAUUUUUCUUUAAUGAUUAUCUCCAUUAACUUGUUUAUUUUGUGGAUAUAUACCUUACAGGAUAACUAAUGAUGAUGAUUUUGAAGUAUCAUCUUUUCUAUAAUGGUCUUUAUGUGUUUCCUUUUUUAUUUUUUUGGUUUCUGGUUGAAAGUUGGGGAGUUCUCUUCCAUUUUGGUGAGAUGUUUUCUCAAUGUGGAUAUUCCAUUCAAGUAGGUGUCUGAUUUCAGCUCUUUCUUUCUCUCUUUUAUUGCAGUGCAAUGAUCCUGUUCUUAGAAUCUAAGAUCCUCUCAUCUUUUUUUUUUCUUUUUUUUUUCUAUAGUUGCUAUGAUGACACCAAAUGUACAUCUGUUUACUUAGAUUCAGUUCUUUUCAAUUCUUGCAUGCUGGUAAAUUACAAUUGAGUUAGGUUGUCCUUUCUUAUUAUUGCUAUAGAGGCCCCACCCAAAGUCAAUGGAUGUUUACUCAGAAUCCAUUCCUGUGAUGGUGGCUAUUUGCAGGAAGGACAUUAUGUUCAAAACAACUCGACUAAUAGCCUGAAUAUGAUGUCCCUCUUGUAGACUAUUUUCAUGUGUUUAGGUACCACUUUCAGUUGUGAUGAUGCAUGGUGACACAAAAUGCAUGAGACAGAUGGGAGUCUGACUAAAUCUAAUGAAUUUAAAGCAUCUUCUUUUCUAUAAUGGUCUUAAUUUGUUUUGCUUUUUUGGGUUUCUGGUUGAAAGUUGUGGAGCACAAGCAUGAGACUUCUCCUUCCAUUAUGGUGGGAUAUUUUCUCAAUGUGGAUGUGUCUGAUUUCAGCUCUCUUUCUCUCCUUUAUUGCAGUGUACUGAUUCUGUUAUUGAAUCAUAAGAUCAUCUGAGCUUUUUAUAUAGUUGCUAUGAUGACUAAAUGCCGCUAUGUUUUACUCAUAUUUACUUCUCAUCAACUCUCUAUUCGGACACUCGGUUCAUAGCAGUGUCUGUAGAUUAUUCAAAUUUUAGUUUUGAAUCUUAAAAUAGGUGGAAAAAGAAAUAUUAAAUUAGGAUUAGAACUUAAAAAUUAAUGUCUUCCAAAGUUAGAAGCUUUUUUUUUGUCUUCCGGAAAAAGAUGUCAAAAAGAUCUUUUUAUAUAUCCUUUGUCUUCUGAAAAGCAAACAGUCUUUUUCACAAAUGUCUUUCCUCCCGUAGACAUAAGAGGUCAAAAAGAGCUUUUGGCAGAAAACAAACACCACUUUAGAUUAUAUCAACCUUUUAGUUUUGAAUCUUAGAAUCAUCUUAUUCUUGUUCUACAGUUUCUAUGGUGGCAACAAAUGCAUGUUUGUCCUUUCUUAUUCACCUAUUUUUCUUUCCAUUAUCUUCAGAUGCCUGGGGUCUUUUUCUUUAGUUCAUGACUUUUUUUUUCCCCCAUUAUUAACCUUUGUCCCAUUUGUUUCACACAUGUUUAUCCUUGAUUUUCUUUUAAAUUAGUUUGUUUGUGUCUCAUGUCAAGAGAGAGAGAGGGCUUAUUUGAAUGGCUUUACUAUCCUAUGUUAGUAUAUGUAAUGAACUUUUACCAUUCUAUAUAACUGAGAAUAAAUUUAUGAAAGCUUAAUUGAUUAUGAAUCUUAAGAUCGUCUCAUCUUUUUUCUGUUGUUGAUAUGGUGGCACCAAAUGUUUUAUUCAUAGUUUUUCUCUGGUUGUGGAAUUAGCAAUAUCCCUCUUCUUUUAACCUAAAUCAGUUAUCUGUAUGAUCUCAGAGGAAUCGACUACAGAUUGUUAAUAUUGUUCAUUUUACUCUGUUUGUGUGUAUGUGUGCUUAUAGUCUAUGGAUCAGGAACUGUAGGUUGCUUGAUUAUAUGAAAUAUGAAUAUAAUGGUGUUUAUGUGAAUGAUGAUUUGUGGGUUUACUCAAAGUGUGUAUAAGGAGGUGCUUUAAUCACUCCUGAAAGUCAUGCUUUUAGCCCAUUGCCUGAUUGGUAUGUUGAUUUCAAGAAUCUGUCUUUUUGUUUUAACUUUUUUUUCUCUAAUAGGUUAUUUCUAAGCUUCUCGUGAAGAAUAAUUUGAUAGGAGCAACACAACUGGGGAGCACAUACAUGUUAUUAUGUAUAUAGCAAAAAUGCAAGGUUGAGAGGUAUUGAUGUUUUUAAUUAUAAGAAAUUUCUUUUGAAUGGUAGUUUGAUUUGAGUGAUGUUUAUAUUUGUGGUUCAAGGUUUGGUUUGGGAAUAUCCCUCAAUAGUUGGAUUUGUAGGUAGGUAGGUAGACUUUAUUGUCUUUUUUGUCCCACAAAAUGAUAAAGUUUUAACAUCAAGAUAAGUUUUCCCAUAUUUUAAAAACAUUAUUUUACCUCUUUUUUUACUAUUAAAGUUUUUGAUUUCCAUAUCUGGUAUUCCAUCUACAUAUGAAUUUCUCAGUAUAAAGGAAUGUCUAUACUUUUUAAAAUGUAAUUUUUUUAAAUCUUAAAAGUCUUGACAAAACUACUAUAGGUGGUAAGUCACAUUUCAUUAGUAGACUUGGAUGAAGGAAACACUUGUUUAUCUUAUGAUAAAUGCAAUAAAUGACAAUGUACUUUCAUUGAUUUGUUUAUUAUAGCAUCAGUCUUCCUAUUACAACAUGGCACUUUGAAAUACUUACCCAGUUAUA